AUGAACGCUGGCGGCGUGCCUAAUACAUGCAAGUCGAGCGAACGGACGAGAAGCUUGCUUCUCUGAUGUUAGCGGCGGACGGGUGAGUAACACGUGGAUAACCUACCUAUAAGACUGGGAUAACUUCGGGAAACCGGAGCUAAUACCGGAUAAUAUUUUGAGCCGCAUGGUUCAAAAGUGAAAGACGGUCUUGCUGUCACUUAUAGAUGGAUCCGCGCUGCAUUAGCUAGUUGGUAAGGUAACGGCUUACCAAGGCAACGAUGCAUAGCCGACCUGAGAGGGUGAUCGGCCACACUGGAACUGAGACACGGUCCAGACUCCUACGGGAGGCAGCAGUAGGGAACCUUCCGCAAUGGGCGAAAGCCUGACGGAGCAACGCCGCGUGAGUGAUGAAGGUCUUCGGAUCGUAAAACUCUGUUAUUAGGGAAGAACAUAUGUGUAAGUAACUGUGCACAUCUUGACGGUACCUAAUCAGAAAGCCACGGCUAACUACGUG
rnacentral:rRNA from 1 species